rnacentral:rRNA from 1 species
CGUGGUACUCCACGCUGUAAACGAUGGAUACUAGCUGUUGGAAGCAAUUUCAGUUGCUAAGAGAAAGUGAUAAGCAUCCCACAUGGGGAGUACUUCGCAAGAAUGAACUCAAAGGAAUGACGGGGGCCCGCACAAGCGGUGGAGCAUGUGCUUUAAUUCGAUGAUACGCGAGGAUCCUUACCAAGGCUUAAAUGUAGAUCGACCAGUUAGGAAACAGAUCUUUCGCAAGACAAUUCACAAGGUGCUGCAUGGUCGUCGUCAGCUCGUGCCGUGAGCUGUCAGCUUAAGUCCUAUAACGAGCGCAACCCCUGUCGUUAGUUGCCAGCGAGUCAAGUCGGGAACUCUAACAAGACUGCCAGUGCAAACUGUGAGGAAGGUGGGGAUGACGUCAAAUCAUCACGGCCCUUACCCCUUCGGCUACACACGUGCUACAAUCGCCGGUACAGAGAGCAGCCACUGGGCGACCAGGAGCGAAUCUACAAAUCCGGUCACAGUUCGGAUCGGAGUCUGCAACUAGACCCCGUGAAGCUGGAAUCAGCUAGUAAUCGGAUAUCAGUCCAUGAUCCGGUGAAUACGUUCCCGGGCCUUGUACACACCGCCCGUCAAGCCAUGGAAGCUGGGGGUGCCUGAAGUCGGUGACCGCAAGUAGC